UACGUAGGGGGCAAGCGUUGUCCGGAUUUAUUGGGCGUAAAGAGCGUGUAGGCGGCCUGAAAGGUCAGCUGUGAAAACUCGAGGCUCAACCUCGAGACGCCGAUGGAAACCAUCUGACUAGAGUCCGGAAGAGGAGAGUGGAAUUCCUGGUGUAGCGGUGAAAUGCGCAGAUAUCAGGAAGAACACCCGUGGCUAAGGCGGCUCUCUAGUACGGUACUGACGCUGAGACGCGAAAGCGUGGGGAGCGAACAGG
rnacentral:rRNA from 1 species